AGUCGAACGGGUUAAGACCCGUGGCGAAUAGCUCAGUAACACGUAGAUAAACUACCCUAUGGACUGUGAUAACCUCGGAAAACUGAGGGUAAUAACAGAUAGUACUCCUACGCUGGAAUGCAGUGAGUACGAAAUGCUCCGGUGCCAUAGGAUGUGACUGCGGCCGAUUAGGUAGACGGUGGGGUAACGGCCCACCGUGCCGAUAAUCGGUACGGGUGGUGAGAGCCAGAGCCCGGAGAUGGAAUCUGAGACAAGAUUCCAGGCCCUAUGGGGCGCAGCAGGCGCGAAAACUUUACAAUGCGCGAAAGCGCGAUAAGGGGACCCCGAGUGCGAGGGCAUAACGUCCUCGCUUUUGUAUAUCGUAAGAAGAUACACGAAUAAGGGCUGGGCAAGACCGGUGCCAGCCGCCGCGGUAAUACCGGCAGCUCGAGUGAUGAUCACUAUUAUUGGGCCUAAAGCGUCCGUACCGGUCAAANAUUUCUUGGGAAACCCC
rnacentral:rRNA from 1 species